CCAAUCCGGACCAAUCCGGUAAUAAAGGUCGAAAUGGCCGGUUUAUGUGACGCUUUGUGAGACCCGGAACUGACCUUCGUACUGAAGUCUCUGGUCUCCACUGGCUGUGGCUUUCCCUGAAGGAAAUCCUUAAGAUUUCUGGAAAGGAAGGGAAGAAGUCCACAUCGGAAACAAGCAGUCGAGUGUUCAUCUGGUGCCACUGACUAGAAUGUCCCAAGCGCCCAAGCCCCAGUUACCUGGCAACACAGAGGAUCCAAACUGCGGGACACACCCGGAGCCAUCGCAGUUCUUCAGUGAUGAUGACCAAGUCAUAGUUUGCAGCAAAUGUUUCCAGUCUCCAGAGCACAAGCAGCAUGGGGCAUACGGUAUCCAAGAAGCUGCUGAGUAUUACAGGACGUUACUCCAGGAAACCCUGGUUACAUUGAGGGAGAAGCGUGAUGCAGCUACGAGCUUACUGGCCGAAGAGCGAGAGAGAAUGGUGACAAUUCAGGAAGAAGAGCAGAGGUUUAAAGAGAUGAUCGAGGCUGAGUAUAAGAUGCGAUUCCAGUUACUGACUGAAGAGGAGGAACUGGCAGCCUACAAAGUUGACCUGAACUUAAAUGGACCUAAUCCAGACCAGCUGAUGAAGUGUGGCACUGAGCUCAUGCAGAAGUCCCAAGAAAUGCUACAGAGACUUAGUCACCUGGGGAGAGAGAACAUGGAAAAACUGAAGGCGAGUGAAGUCCGGCUUGGUGAGCACCUGCGCAGCCUCCAGACGAUGAUCACGGACCUCGAGAAGAACUGUGGGGAAUCUGCCGUUGCACUGCUCCAGAUGCUGACAAAAGACAAAAAUCCUCCACAAAGUAAUGAGCUGGAUCCUGAAAAUGGGGGCAGGUUGUACAUUGUCUGCUGUCGUCUGAAUGUUCACAUAGGUUCCAUACAUUGGGAUCAUCUUCCGGGGCAGCAGGAUUAGAGAUGGAAUCUUUAGGAGGUGACUGGCCAGCAGAGUGGCACUCUCCUAUAGGGACUGUAAGUGACCUUAUGAAAAAAGCCUCAGGAGAUAACCCCUGAAGAAAUAGUUCAGCUCUGGAGCCCUGCCUAUUUCCAGACAACAUGAGCAGGUGUGGCCCAGUUAUGCUCCUGCCUGACCUGGAUCCAGAUGCCCUCUUGGCCUAGUGGCCGGGGCUCCAUCUGCUCUGCGCACGUCUUUCUCCCUCAGUAACAGAAAGGAAAUACAUGGGUACUGUUUAAGAGGAGACAGGGAGAGAAGAGGGUGAGAAAGUGUUAUACUUUUUAGUGUCUUUGACAUCAUGACUUAUAAAUGCUUUGGUUUAAAUACCCAGUAGUAAUCUUGUCUCUUCCCCCCCCUUAGAAUGCAAAGUGCUAUUUAAAAAGGAAUGAGUCUAUACUGCUUCAGAGCCUAGAGCCAGCUCAGAUAACAGACCUGAGUUUCUGCCUGAUAAUCGAAACGAGCCGUGUUCUACUGAGGCUCCAAAGACAUAUUACUUUGGACCCAGGCACAGCUCACCCCUCCCUAGUCUUAUCCGAAGACCUGAGAAGUGUGGGAUUCCGAGAGACACCAAAGACUGGGCCUGGCACUACAAGGAGAUUGGAUUUCAGCGCUUCUGUGUUGGGUGCAGAGAGCUUCACCACGGGGAGGCAUUAUUGGGAGGUGGCUGUGGGACAGGCAACCCAAUG